GUCUACAGCCAUACCACCCUGAACAUGCCCGAUCUCAUCUGAUCUCAAAAGCUAAGCAGGGUCAGACCUGGUUAGUACUUGGAUGGGAGGCUGCUUCUGAACAGAUGCCCACAGACC
ensembl:rRNA 5S_rRNA 5S ribosomal RNA